rnacentral:rRNA from 2 species
AGAGUUUGAUCCUGGCUCAGGACGAACGCUGGCGGCGCGCCUAACACAUGCAAGUCGAACGAGCGAGAGAGAGCUUGCUUUCUCGAGCGAGUGGCGAACGGGUGAGUAACGCGUGAGGAACCUGCCUCAAAGAGGGGGACAACAGUUGGAAACGACUGCUAAUACCGCAUAAGCCCACGGCUCGGCAUCGAGCAGAGGGAAAAGGAGCAAUCCGCUUUGAGAUGGCCUCGCGUCCGAUUAGCUAGUUGGUGAGGUAACGGCCCACCAAGGCGACGAUCGGUAGCCGGACUGAGAGGUUGAACGGCCACAUUGGGACUGAGACACGGCCCAGACUCCUACGGGAGGCAGCAGUGGGGAAUAUUGCACAAUGGGGGAAACCCUGAUGCAGCGACGCCGCGUGGAGGAAGAAGGUCUUCGGAUUGUAAACUCCUGUUGUUGAGGAAGAUAAUGACGGUACUCAACAAGGAAGUGACGGCUAACUACGUGCCAGCAGCCGCGGUAAAACGUAGGUCACAAGCGUUGUCCGGAAUUACUGGGUGUAAAGGGAGCGCAGGCGGGAAGACAAGUUGGAAGUGAAAUCCAUGGGCUCAACCCAUGAACUGCUUUCAAAACUGUUUUUCUUGAGUAGUGCAGAGGUAGGCGGAAUUCCCGGUGUAGCGGUGGAAUGCGUAGAUAUCGGGAGGAACACCAGUGGCGAAGGCGGCCUACUGGGCACCAACUGACGCUGAGGCUCGAAAGUGUGGGUAGCAAACAGGAUUAGAUACCCUGGUAGUCCACACCGUAAACGAUGAUUACUAGGUGUUGGAGGAUUGACCCCUUCAGUGCCGCAGUUAACACAAUAAGUAAUCCACCUGGGGAGUACGACCGCAAGGUUGAAACUCAAAGGAAU